AUUGAACGCUGGCGGCAGGCCUAACACAUGCAAGUCGAGCGAGCGGCGGACGGGUGAGUAAUGUCUGGGAAACUGCCUGAUGGAGGGGGAUAACUACUGGAAACGGUAGCUAAUACCGCAUACCAUCAGAAGUGCCCAGAGGGGAUUAGCUAGUAGGUGGGGUAACGGCUCACCUAGGCGACGAUCCCUAGCUGGUCUGAGGGGAGGACCAGCCACACUGGAACUUGGACACGGCCCAGACUCCUACGGGAGGCAGCAGUGGGGAAUAUUGCACAAUGGGCGCAAGCCUGAUGCAGCCAUGCCGCGUGUAUGAAGAAGGCCUUCGGGUUGUAAAGCACUUUCAGCGGGGAGGCGUUACCCGCAGAAGAAGCACCGGCUAACUCCGUGCCAGCAGCCGCGGUAAUAC
rnacentral:rRNA from 1 species